GGAAAUGGGGGUGAGAUUAGGGGUGGGGGGAGAUAAUCAACAUGAAAGGCCGUUUAUGAAACUUGUUUUCUCUAAUAUUAUAAGGGAAGUAAUUUUCUGACUUUUAAGGAAAUUGUUUUUCUUAGAGGAAAUGUUGACCAACCAAACAUAGAAAAAUUUCUCCGUAUUGAACACACCCUUAAAAGUUUUAACUGAUAUUCUCACUAUCAAACUAUCUUUGCAACUACUACUUCAGUACCCUUCUGUACAUAAAGUCAAACUGAUAUUUAAACUUAGUACUCAAUCAAUAUCAAACGGAAUGGACGGAGUCUUUUAUAGGAAAUAUUAAUAGCAGCAGAGAUGUAUCUACCUCAAAUUUUUUUGCAGAAUUCGACAGAGCUCCAAGAAAGAGAUCUUUAAAUAUGCAUGUGUCUAAUAUUUUUUUAGAAAGAACAAUAUGCAUAUAUACAAUAAGCCGAUACCUUUCAAAAAUUAUACAAGAUUAACAUCAAUAUGGACCAUGAAUUAAAGCCUUAAGGCUCCACAGGUUCAGACUCAAACUCAGGUGCAAGGGGGAGCUAUGACAAUUCACAAGGUUUUGAAUAUCCAUUUUCUACCGGCUAGUCUCUUGUAGUUUCUUGCCCUAUUCUGCUACUAUUUGUUGUUUCUUGUUCUUUGACUAUCGUAUUACUUUGUGAUUGUUACUGCUCUAUCAUGCUUUUAUAGUAUGUUGCCAUUCGUUUUUCGUUAUAUCCUUUUUCAUACUGAUUUGAAUUGAUUGUCCUUAUGCGGAGGGUCUGCCGGAAAAACCUCUCUACCUCCCAAGGUAGAGGUACGGUUUGCGUACACUCUACCCUCCCCAGACCCACUUUGUGGGGUUUCACUAGGUAUGUUGUUGUUGUAUUUUCUAUGUAUUUGCAAGAAGAUUUGCUAGAUGCCGACACAAAUAGUUGGUCAUAGUUAGACAUAUCUAAUUUACUGUCAAAUGAUAUUCGCACUUCUUCUCUUUCUUUCCCCCCCUCUUCUCUCCUGCUCUGUCUCAUUAACUCUCUUGAACAAAAGUUGGGGACAUUAUGACAGAAGAGGUAAUUUAAAGGCUCUUCUCUUCAUAAAAGAUUAUCGAAAUGUUAUUGUAGUAGCUUGCUCUGUAGUUAGAUUGUGAGACAUUUUAUUACAAUGAUGUCAAAUUUGUUUGUGUGGGUUGCAGAGCAAGCUCAUCACGGUCGCACCAGAAACUAAUUACUGAAAGUGAUGCAAUUGAUGACAGAUACCAUUGACCAGAACGGUAUGAUAGGGAUGGUGUAUGUUGGAGAUGUUGCAAGUGAGCGUUGGGAUGAACUGAACUAUUUAAAUACCAACAUACAAGGAGGUUAUUAGAUGAUGACGAUAAGACAAAUGGUUCAUGCCUUUAAUCUUGUAAAUAUCGACAUGCUUGGAUCUACUGCACUUCUUUUCCAGUUUUUGGAGUUUAUAACUAGUAGUUGUUUAAUAUGGUCGUUUGUUUAAACAAAAUAAACAGUGUUUCAUCUUGUUUUAAGGGAUUAACAAUAACAUAUUCUUCCAGUUAAGCUCAA